rnacentral:rRNA from 1 species
UCGUCGACAACCUGGUUGAUCCUGCCAGUAGUCAUAUGCUCGUGUUAAAGAUUAAGCCAUGCAUGCCUAAGUACAGAUUGUACAACGAUGAAACUGCGGACGGCUCCAUAGAUCAGUAAUUGUUCGUUUGGCGAAUGAAGUACUUGGAUAACCCUGUUAAUUGUAGAGCUAAUACAUGCACCGACGGCUCGAUUGGGCAACCGAGAGAGCUGCACUUGUCUUUCUUUUCAAGCCCAGGGGGGCCUGUGUGGAGCUCCGGGGAGGGCCCCGUGGUGGAAGCAGAGACAACUGGGAGCACAAAGCUAGGGAGGAGGCGCAAAGCCAACCCGGCGAAGACUCUAGCAAAGGCUCCUGGGCCCAAGGCUGGCGGCGUCCCCGAAAGGGGGCGUCGUUUGGCCGAAGAGCAAUUCUGUGGAAGCUGCGGGAUACCGUCGAUCCGGGGCAGAAGCGUGGGUCGUCCUGGGGAUAGGGUGAAACGGGACAAUUCAAAGCAGAUCGCCGCUUCGGCGGCGACACGCCAUUCGAAUUUCUGACCUAUCAACUAGAUGGUAGGAUAGUGGCCUACCAUGGUUAUAACGGGUAACGGGGAAUCAGGGCUCGAUUCCGGAGAGGGAGCCUGAGAAACGGCUACCACUUCCRAGGAAGGCAGCAGGCGCGUAAAUUACUCCCUGCCGACACGGCGAGGUAGUGACGACAAAUACCAAGGUCAGCCGCCUAUGGUGGCCGACUAUUGGAAUGAGCAGAAUUUAAAUCCCUCUGCAAGUAACAAUUGGAGGGCAAGUCUGGUGCCAGCAGCCGCGGUAAUUCCAGCUCCAAGAGUGUAUACUAAAGCUGUUGCGGUUAAAACGCUCGUAGUUGAAUUCCAACAUCCGGUUCAAAGUGGACGGAGAUUGGGGGUGGGGUGGRGGUCUCGCAAGGGAUCCCUGUCCCAUUCACCUGCUGUUCGCUCCGGAGAAGCGUAACCCAUGUCAAGCGCUGGGCCCUCGCCCUGGCCAUUAACUUGGCCAGGGAGACGAAAACCCCGACCGACAAGGGAGGGGGRGAGCCCGGAUUCUAAGUUUACCUUGAAUAAACUAGAGUGAUUCAAGCAGGCGGAAACGCUUUGAAUACGAUUAGCAUGGGAUAAACAUUACGCAAAACAAACCGGGUCUGGCUGAGACUGGGUCCGGGCAGGGGGACGAGGGGAGAUCAUCGAUCUGGCGGCGUCGUUGUCUGUGCAGCUAAUAUCAGCGUAGUCCCAAGGGUUAGCUUGGCUUUCCCGGGGGGGCUCGGAUCCUGCUGUUUGGCCGGGAGGGGGGGUGGUGGGCCUYCGGGUCCGCCAUCCACCCGUCUGGUCAGGCRGUGGGGGGGUUCACUGGGCAACCAGUAUGCGCYGAGAUGUGCAGGCAAGGGCGUCGUCUCCGGUGGUCGACAAAGACUCCUCGUUUUCAGGCCUUGGCCAAAGCCAGCCAAUACGGCUCGGUCGCACGGUGGGGGGGCCCGCAAGGUYUUCCUGCUGUGCGUAUGAACCAUGAUAGGGACAGCCGGGGUCGUUAAUACUUCCGUGCUAGGGGUGAAAUCCUAUGAUUACGGAAAGAUUAACUAGUGCGAAAGCAUUCGACAAGGAUGUUUUCAUUAAUCAAGAACGAAAGUUGGGGGAUCGAAGACGAUCAGAUACCGUCGUAGUCUCAACCAUAAACGAUGCCGACCAGGGAUCGAGGGACGCUUUCCGAAGAGGAAGCGAGGCUCCCCCGGCACCUUUGAGAGAAAUCAAUGAGUGUCUGGGCUUCGGGGGGAGUAUGGUCGCAAGGCUGAAACUUAAAGGAAUUGACGGAAGGGCACACAAGAAGUGGACUGCGGCUUAAUUUGACUCAACACGGGGAAACUUACCAGGUCCAGACAGUGGAAGGAUUGACAGAUUGAGAGCUCUUUCUAGAUUCGCUGGGUGGUGGUGCAUGGCCGUUCUUAGUUCGUGGUGUAAAUUGUCUGUGUCAAUUCCGCUAACGAACGAGACCUUAACCUGCUAACUAAUGUUGGGCGGAGGCUUUUGCAGGGGGAAGCGUUGGGGGCAACUCUGGCGUGGAACCCUGYAAAACUCUGGUCAAAAUCGGCCCCGUCGACGGGGUGGCUGGGGCAACCUGGUCAUCCUGCAGGGGCCGAACCAACUUCUUAGAGGGACUAUUUGCUCCUAGCGAAUGGAAGUUURAKSCAAUAACAGGUCUGUGAUGCCCUUCGAUGUCCUGGGCCGCACGCGCGCUACACUGACUGAGUGAAUGAGUUUGCGUGCACCCCUCAUGGGCUCCCGCAAGGGAGUCUGUGGGGGGAGAAUGCACCUACCCUGGGCCGAAAGGCUCUGGGAAAAUUGCGGAAACCCAGUCGUGCUGGGGAUAGACCUUUGCAACUAUUGGUCUUAAACGAGGAAUUCCUAGUAAGCGUGGGUCAUCAGCUCACGUUGAUUACGUCCCUGCCCUUUGUACACACCGCCCGUCGCUCCUACCGAUUGGAUGAUCCGGUGAAGGUUACGGAUGAGCUUGGUAUACAACGCUGGUGGGCUUGCUCAUCAGUGUAAUACCAUCCAGAAGUGACCUAAACCUUAUUAUCUAGAGGAAGGAGAAGUCGUAACAAGGUUUCCGUAGGUGAACCUGCAGAAGGAUCAAGCUUGGAUCCCGGGAAGGGC